rnacentral:rRNA from 1 species
UACGGGGGGGGCAAGCGUUGUUCGGAAUUACUGGGCGUAAAGGGCUCGUAGGCGGCUAACUAAGUCGGAUGUGAAAUCCCCAGGCUUAACCUGGGAACUGCAUCCGAUACUGGAUGGCUUGAAUCCGGGAGAGGGAUGCAGAAUUCCAGGUGUAGCGGUGAAAUGCGUAGAUAUCUGGAGGAAUACCGGUGGCGAAGGCGGCAUCCUGGACCGGCAUUGACGCUGAUGAGCGAAAGCCAGGGGAGCAAACGGG